rnacentral:hammerhead_ribozyme from 1 species
GCACUGCUGAGGAGGAGUCCCACGAUAGGACGAAACGGCCGUCCAGUGC